rnacentral:rRNA from 1 species
UACGUAGGGUGCGAGCGUUGUCCGGAAUUAUUGGGCGUAAAGAGCUCGUAGGCGGUGUGUCACGUCGGCCGUGAAAACCUGGGGCUUAACUCUGGGCGUGCGGUCGAUACGGGCAUCACUAGAGUUCGGCAGGGGAGACUGGAAUUCCUGGUGUAGCGGUGAAAUGCGCAGAUAUCAGGAGGAACACCGGUGGCGAAGGCGGGUCUCUGGGGCCGAUAACU